CAGUCGCCACGGUAAUACAGAGGGUGCAAGCGUUAAUCGGAUUUACUGGGCGUAAAGGGCGCGUAGGUGGUUAUGUAAGUGAGAUGUGAAAUCCCCGGGCUCAACCUGGGAACUGCAUCUUAUACUGCGUAGCUGGAGUGCAGUAGAGGGUAGUGGAAUUUCCGGUGUAGCGGUGAAAUGCGUAGAUAUCGGAAGGAACACCUGUGGCGAAAGCGGCUCACUGGACCAUUUCUGACGCUGAUGCACGAAAGCUAGGGGAGCAAACAGGAUUAGAUACCCGCGUAGUCCCUGUCUCUUAUAC
rnacentral:rRNA from 1 species